UAAGGGCGUUGAAGCAUGAUCGUAAGGACAUGUGGAGCGCUUAGAAGUGAGAAUGCCGGUGUGAGUAGCGAAAGACGGGUGAGAAUCCCGUCCACCGAUUGACUAAGGUUUCCAGAGGAAGGCUCGUCCGCUCUGGGUUAGUCGGGUCCUAAGCUGAGGCCGACAGGCGUAGGCGAUGGAUAACAGGUUGAUAUUCCUGUACCACCUAUAAUCGUUUUAAUCGAUGGGGGGACGCAGUAGGAUAGGCGAAGCGUGCGAUUGGAUUGCACGUCUAAGCAGUAAGGCUGAGUAUUAGGCAAAUCCGGUACUCGUUAAGGCUGAGCUGUGAUGGGGAGAAGACAUUGUGUCUUCGAGUCGUUGAUUUCACACUGCCGAGAAAAGCCUCUAGAUAGAAAAUAGGUGCCCGUACCGCAAACCGACACAGGUAGUCAAGAUGAGAAUUCUAAGGUGAGCGAGCGAACUCUCGUUAAGGAACUCGGCAAAAUGACCCCGUAACUUCGGGAGAAGGGGUGCUCUUUAGGGUUAACGCCCAGAAGAGCCGCAGUGAAUAGGCCCAAGCGACUGUUUAUCAAAAACACAGGUCUCUGCUAAACCGUAAGGUGAUGUAUAGGGGCUGACGCCUGCCCGGUGCUGGAAGGUUAAGAGGAG
rnacentral:rRNA from 1 species